rnacentral:rRNA from 1 species
ACGGAGGGUGCAAGCGUUAAUCGGAAUCACUGGGCGUAAAGCGCACGUAGGCUGUUAUGUAAGUCAGGGGUGAAAGCCCACGGCUCAACCGUGGAACUGCCCUUGAUACUGCACGACUUGAAUCCGGGAGAGGGUGGCGGAAUUCCAGGUGUAGGAGUGAAAUCCGUAGAUAUCUGGAGGAACAUCAGUGGCGAAGGCGGCCACCUGGACCGGUAUUGACGCUGAGGUGCGAAAGCGUGGGGAGCAAACAG